GGGGCCGAUCGGUAUCGACCGGGCAGGGAAUGUAUGUCGUGGCGCGUCGCGGCGCUCGUGGACCGCGUUAUCAAGCGAGCAAAAACCAUAACUGCCAAUCAGCAGUACGCUCUCGCGGCGUAAAAUCGUCGCGCGAACCCGCUUUGACGCCUGAUGGAGGCGGGUUCGACGAUCAUCGGGCUGGCUCCGGAGGCCACUGUUCGAGGCCAAAGGAGCGAGAUUCAACCGAACUGGGCUGAAAAGCAUGCCGUCACCGGUGAGCUUGAGGCCGAGAUAUAAACGGUGACUACACGCGUAGAAGCGGCAUGCGGACUGUCACGGGACGGGGGUUCGAUUCCCCCCGGCUCCACUU
rnacentral:tmRNA from 1 species